UUCCCCGCAGACUAGGUAGAUACGUAGGUCCUUUCGUAUUAAUAAUAUCAAAGUAGGAAUGGAAUUUUUUGUCAGUAGUCUUGGCAUCGCGAAUCGUGACUGAUGUGGUCACUGCUCCUAAAUACCUGUAAACCGCCACUCUGUGCUUUGUCUAUUGAAUAAGAUUGUGCCUUACUACUUAUAUAAGCAAAAAUUAUGUACGUACGUACCUAUACCUACCUUGUUAAGAGUAGAUAACCGCGAGUAGAAUAAAAUAGUUGACAAUUUAAUAUUAAAUUGGUUCGUAAUAAUGUCGAGUGUGGUGACGUCACAACCAAGGCGCGGAGCAAAGAUUAAUUCGACAGAAUCUUCACCCGAAACUCAACAUGAAACCGAUGAUGGAUGUUGCUUUGGAUUGUGCUGUAAUUGCUGCGAUGAUGAAAAACAAAAGAGCAGACCUCGAAGGAGAAUUAAUAACUAUACCAGUGACACUUUGUUUAGUAAUGAUUCCAACACGGCCAAUUUCGUAAAUGAUAAUCACCAUACAAACAUAAUAUAUGGUGGCCCUGGGCAUAGCACACAUGAUCAUGGUGGAACUACUGAUCACUCGGGUGGUGGUGAUUGUGGAGGUGGAGAUACCUCAGGUGGUGGUGAUUGUGGAGGUGGAGACUCCGGCGGCGGUGCUUGUAGUACAGAUUAAGGAGUUAUAAAAGUGUGGACUGAUUAGUUGUGAUCAACAAAAGUGGAAAUGGAUAUAAAGAUGCUAUAAACUAGAAGCAGGAGUGAACCAAAUCAUGGGAAAAUAGAAUGUGCCACGAUGUAAAUAAUCAUAACAUUUCCAAAUUAAAGAAAGUAAUUGGACCGAA